rnacentral:lncRNA from 1 species
AGUUUUUCGUUCAGGGGGGGGGAGUCUGCAUUGGCACAUGCAUCGCCCCUGCUCUCAGCGACAUCUUACUAGCCCGCUUUGACCGUAAUCUUGACAGCA